UUUACUGCCUAUGUUUUCUUAUAGGUUUUUUUUGGUUUCAAGUCUAACAUUUAAGUGUUUAAUCCAUUCUGAGUUUAUCCUUUUGUAUGAUGUAAGAAGGUAAGCUAAUUUAAAUUUUUGUGCAUAUCUGUCCAAUUUUCCCAACACCAUUUAUUGUUUAGACCAUCUUUAACCCUUUAUGUGUUUUUGCCUCCUUUGUCAAAUAUACAUUGACCAUUAAAGGUGUGGGUUUAUUUCUGGGCUCUCUAUUCAGUUCCAUUAAUCUAUAUGUCUGUUUUUAUGCCAGUACCAUGCUGUUCUGAUUACUAUGACCUUGUAGUAUAGUCUGAUACCAGAUAGCAUGAUUCCUUAAAUUUUAUUCUUCUUUGUCAAGACUUCAGUGGCUUAUUUGGGGUCUUUUGUGUUUUCAUAUAAAUUUUAGAAUUAAUUGUUCUAGUUUCAAUGAAAAUGCCACUGGUAUUUUGGUAGAAAUUGCAUUGAAUAUAUAGAUUGCUUUGGGUAGUAUAGACAUUACAAUGUUAAUUCUUCCU